UAAGUAAGCUUUGAUCCAGAGAUUUCCGAAUGGGGAAACCCAGCAUGAGUUAUGUCAUGUUAUCGAUAUGUGAAUACAUAGCAUAUCAGAAGGCACACCCGGAGAACUGAAACAUCUUAGUACCCGGAGGAAGAGAAAGAAAAUUCGAUUCCCUUAGUAGCGGCGAGCGAAACGGGAAGAGCCCAAACCAACAAGCUUGCUUGUUGGGGUUGUAGGACACUCUAUACGGAGUUACAAAGGACGACAUUAGACGAAUCAUCUGGAAAGAUGAAUCAAAGAAGGUAAUAAUCCUGUAGUCGAAAAUGUUGUCUCUCUUGAGUGGAUCCUGAGUACGACGGAGCACGUGAAAUUCCGUCGGAAUCUGGGAGGACCAUCUCCUAAGGCUAAAUACUCUCUAGUGACCGAUAGUGAACCAGUACCGUGAGGGAAAGGUGAAAAGCACCCCGGAAGGGGAGUGAAAUAGAACCUGAAACCGUGUGCUUACAAGUAGUCAGAGCCCGUUAAUGGGUGAUGGCGUGCCUUUUGUAGAAUGAACCGGCGAGUUACGAUUUGAUGCAAGGUUAAGCAGUAAAUGUGGAGCCGUAGCGAAAGCGAGUCUGAAUAGGGCGUUUAGUAUUUGGUCGUAGACCCGAAACCAGGUGAUCUACCCUUGGUCAGGUUGAAGUUCAGGUAACACUGAAUGGAGGACCGAACCGACUUACGUUGAAAAGUGAGCGGAUGAACUGAGGGUAGCGGAGAAAUUCCAAUCGAACCUGGAGAUAGCUGGUUCUCUCCGAAAUAGCUUUAGGGCUAGCCUCAAGUGAUGAUUAUUGGAGGUAGAGCACUGUUUGGACGAGGGGCCCCUCUCGGGUUACCGAAUUCAGACAAACUCCGAAUGCCAAUUAAUUUAACUUGGGAGUCAGAACAUGGGUGAUAAGGUCCGUGUUCGAAAGGGAAACAGCCCAGACCACCAGCUAAGGUCCCAAAAUAUAUGUUAAGUGGAAAAGGAUGUGGCGUUGCCCAGACAACUAGGAUGUUGGCUUAGAAGCAGCCAUCAUUUAAAGAGUGCGUAAUAGCUCACUAGUCGAGUGACACUGCGCCGAAAAUGUACCGGGGCUAAACAUAUUACCGAAGCUGUGGAUUGUCCUUUGGACAAUGGUAGGAGAGCGUUCUAAGGGCGUUGAAGCAUGAUCGUAAGGACAUGUGGAGCGCUUAGAAGUGAGAAUGCCGGUGUGAGUAGCGAAAGACGGGUGAGAAUCCCGUCCACCGAUUGACUAAGGUUUCCAGAGGAAGGCUCGUCCGCUCUGGGUUAGUCGGGUCCUAAGCUGAGGCCGACAGGCGUAGGCGAUGGAUAACAGGUUGAUAUUCCUGUACCACCUAUAAUCGUUUUAAUCGAUGGGGGGACGCAGUAGGAUAGGCGAAGCGUGCGAUUGGAUUGCACGUCUAAGCAGUAAGGCUGAGUAUUAGGCAAAUCCGGUACUCGUUAAGGCUGAGCUGUGAUGGGGAGAAGACAUUGUGUCUUCGAGUCGUUGAUUUCACACUGCCGAGAAAAGCCUCUAGAUAGAAAAUAGGUGCCCGUACCGCAAACCGACACAGGUAGUCAAGAUGAGAAUUCUAAGGUGAGCGAGCGAACUCUCGUUAAGGAACUCGGCAAAAUGACCCCGUAACUUCGGGAGAAGGGGUGCUCUUUAGGGUUAACGCCCAGAAGAGCCGCAGUGAAUAGGCCCAAGCGACUGUUUAUCAAAAACACAGGUCUCUGCUAAACCGUAAGGUGAUGUAUAGGGGCUGACGCCUGCCCGGUGCUGGAAGGUUAAGAGGAGUGGUUAGCUUCUGCGAAGCUACGAAUCGAAGCCCCAGUAAACGGCGGCCGUAACUAUAACGGUCCUAAGGUAGCGAAAUUCCUUGUCGGGUAAGUUCCGACCCGCACGAAAGGCGUAACGAUUUGGGCACUGUCUCAACGAGAGACUCGGUGAAAUCAUAGUACCUGUGAAGAUGCAGGUUACCCGCGACAGGACGGAAAGACCCCGUGGAGCUUUACUGUAGCCUGAUAUUGAAAUUCGGCACAGCUUGUACAGGAUAGGUA
rnacentral:rRNA from 1 species